rnacentral:rRNA from 1 species
UACGUAGGGGGCAAGCGUUGUCCGGAUUUAUUGGGCGUAAAGAGCGUGUAGGCGGCCGGAUAGGUCCGUUGUGAAAACUGGAGGCUUAACCUCCAGCGGUCGAUGGAAACCAUCUGGCUAGAGUCCGGAAGAGGAGAGUGGAAUUCCUGGUGUAGCGGUGAAAUGCGCAGAUAUCAGGAAGAACACCCGUGGCGAAGGCGGCUCUCUGGGACGGUACUGACGCUGAGACGCGAAAGCGUGGGGAGCGAACAGG